GCGAGGAUGGCGGAAUUGGCAGACGCGCUGGAUUUAGGAUCCAGUCCCGUAAGGGGUGGGGGUUCGACUCCCCCUCCUCGCA
rnacentral:tRNA from 1 species